rnacentral:lncRNA from 1 species
GUUACUGCAUCCUGGCCUCUUGUCCUUUCUGUCUCCACCUGGUAGGGAAAACGGAGUGGACUAGACCUCCGGACUAAGGCUGCAUCCGCAGGAGGCAUCUGAGGAAGUUGAGGUUUUGGUUCCAAGCGUCCUCCCACCUGUUCAGAUGUUUGCAGCAGUUAAAGGGCAGUGAUUGCACGCAUUACAGGUUCACUCUGGGCAGCUGAGGAGGCAGGCAGAGGUAGCCAGGCCCCCCGCCAGGCCCGCCC